GUCCUGAUCACCGAACAAGAAGUGCUAUGCAGAUGUUUUAUGUUUAGUCCGUCUCUUCCACGGUUCACGUUUCGCAGCUUGCUGAAGUUCUUUGCUUCUUUGAGCUCUGAUCUUUCCUCUGCUCUCGUCAAGGCGUCUCCUUUCUUCUGUAUUUCUGGUUAGAAGCAGAAGAUGGGGAAGAGGAGAGGAAGGGCAUGUGUGGUUGUAUUGGGCGAUAUAGGCCGCAGCCCUCGAAUGCAGUAUCAUGCCCUUUCCCUUGCCCGUCAGGCAUCUCUACAAGUGGACAUUGUUGCAUAUGGAGGUUCUGAACCCCAUAUGGCUGUACUAGAGAAUCAGUUUAUUAAUAUCCACAAAAUGAAACAAUGGCCAGUGCGUCCUCAUGGUCUGCCGAAGAUACUUAAUCCCUUGAUUCUUUUGCUCAAGCCAUUGUUUCAGUUUUUUAUGCUCCUUUGGUAUCUCUGUGUUAAAAUUCCAGCUCCUGAUAUUUUCAUAGUGCAGAAUCCACCAUCUGUUCCAACUUUGGUGGCUGUAAAAUGGGCAAGUUGGCUGAGGAAUUCCAUGUUUAUUGUUGAUUGGCAUAACUUUGGGUAUACUUUAUUGGCACUUUCCCUUGGAAGAAGCAGUCCAUUUGUAGCAGUAUAUCGUUGGUUUGAGAGGCAUUAUGGAAGGAUGGCCAAUGGUUCCCUCUGUGUGACAAAAGCAAUGCAACAUGAAUUAGCUCAAAACUGGGGAAUUAAGUAAGAGGGUCAGCUCAAUAUUCAUAAUUUUCUUCAUCCUAAUUGGAAUUUUUUUUAUUAUCAAUACUGUAGGUCCAUUAAUCAUCUUUGAAAUAUUAAUUGACAGAGCCAUAGUUCUAUAUGAUCAGCCUCCUGAGUUUUUCCAUCCUGCUUCACUUGAGGAAAAGCAUAAGUUGUUUUGCAGAUUGGAUAAAGUUAUCAGUCAGCCUUAUGGUAUUCGUGAUUGCGCCAGCUAUGGAUCCAUAGGAAUGAGGAACUGUGAUUUAACUGAGACUCUGUUUACUACCAUGGCUGAUGGUGAUAUUUUCUUGAAGCCAAAUAGGCCAGCACUUGUUGUUAGCAGUACAAGCUGGACUCCAGAUGAGGAUUUUGGCAUGCUUCUGGAAGCUGCAGUUAUGUAUGAUAGACGUGUUGCUGCAAUCCUAAAUGAAAAUGAUUCUACUCUUGAAGAGGUUCUAUGGAAGGAAUUAUCUGAUGGGAAGCAAUACUUAUAUCCUAGGUUGUUAUUUGUCAUUACAGGUAAAGGGCCUGAAAAAGAAACAUAUGAAGAAAAAAUAAGGAAGCUACACCUCAAGCGUGUGGCAUUUCGGACCAUGUGGUUGUCAGCUGAGGAUUAUCCGUUGCUUCUAGGAUCAGCAGAUCUGGGUGUGUGCUUACAUACUUCAUCUUCAGGGCUGGACCUUCCCAUGAAGGUUGUUGACAUGUUUGGUUGUGGACUGCCUGUUUGUGCUGUUUCCUACUCUUGGUAAAGCAUCGUUGUCUAUUUAUUUCAGCAUGUGACGUAAGGCUUUAGUUAUAUUCUCUCUUUAAAAUGCUAUGUUUUACUUGGUAAUCAUCUCCAUUGUUUGAAGCAUCAAGGAGCUAGUGACAGUUGAUAAAAAUGGUCUCCUCUUUUCAUCAUCUUCAGAGCUAGCUGACGAACUAAUGAUGCUUUUUAAGGGUUUUCCAGAUGAAUGUAAUGCGUUGAAGUCUCUAAGAAACGGUGCACUGGAAAUGGGUUCCUCAAGAUGGGCUACUGAGUGGGAAGAAAAUGCAAAGCCAUUAAUAUUGGAGGCAAGUUUACCUCGCUCACAUUAGAUUGGUAAACUGUAGUAUUAGAUUGGUAACAAUAGAUGAUCCUUCAUAAUCAAAUGUUUUAUCAUGCACAUUUAUGCAGUUCUUUUGGCUGCUUCCAUGCAGCGUCCAAAAUUUCUUUAUGCAUCUUUAUCUACAGCCUUUAAAGGAUUUUGACUUCUAAAUUUGUAGGUUAUUUCUCAGAACUCCAAUUAAUUUCUGGUCUCAAGUUCAAUUCAUUGCACAGUAAUUUAAUGAGGUAAGAUUGGGAUUUCUCUUCAUGUUUUCGGUGGUUGGAAAUUUCUUUUUGUUGUUUUGUUUGGGUGGUUUAAAUUGGAAGGUUUGAUGUUUAAACUACUAAAAAAUUACGGGUGAUGGUAUGAGCAUGGAUAACAUGAUAUUGUGAACCAACCAUGUUCAGAAACCUAAAUGGGAAUAUUAGAAUUUCAAGUUUUUUUUCUUAUUUGAAAGCAACAACGAAUGGGAAUUCACUCAGCUCGUCUGAUUUAUUAGGAUUAGCUGCCAGCAGUUUAUUGCAGGUUUGAAGACCACACAAAGCUUUAUCUCCUAAUGUAUGUGCUAUGUGCUUUGGUAGCUGUGAGACUUGUGACCUUUUCUUGCAUUGCAUCCCACUCUUGCUAUGCAUCUCUGAAAUGGGUUGUUUGAUGUAUUUGGAGAAAUGUAGGUUGGCCCACCAACUUAAGUUUAAGUUGAUUUGUUUGUGUCUUGGGAGAGGAAAGACGCUGAAAGUCCCCUCAGAAUACGCUUCUUUUUUUUCUUAGGUGCAGUCUAUUUGUACCAGUUAUUAUGGUAUUAGGGUUGUGUUUUUGGUUUAGCAAAAUAUUUAACUGGGUUUGAGAAAUUUGUAAGUAGAAUAGCCAGUUUUCUUUUCUGGGUCCAUGUUCGUUUUUCAAAAUAAAGUUUAGGUGAAAACAAAGAAAAAGAAAGUUA
rnacentral:misc_RNA from 1 species